UUUUAAUAUGCACCAAAAUUGUACAGUAGAAUUUUAAAAUUUGUAUGACUUAAAAUUAAUUUUGAUAAUUACCAUUCAAAUACCUUAACUAUUCAAUGAAUAAGUAACUAUGUAUAUUAUUGUUAUUUAUUUACUGGGAAUGUAACUAUGUAAGUUUUAUACUAUAACCUGGAAUAUAACCUUAUAAAAUACAACAUUUUGUAUACAUACCUACAUUUACUGAACUACAUAAUAUUCAAUUGUUCCAAAUUCUUAAUUAUAUUUUUAAAUAUUAAAUAUAAAAUUGUAUACAAUAACUACAGUAUUCAAAAAAAUUAAUUUGUAGCAAACAUUCCUUGGAUUGUAAACAAGAAUUAUAAAUUAAAUAGAUACAAUAUUAAAAUUUGUUUGUAAUAACGUCAAUAAU